AAAACUUAUACAUCUUCUGUACAUCAUCCUCAACACUUUUGUGUUACAUAUACUCAUUCAUCACUCAAAGGUCAAAGGUUAGAAAAGCUUGGUUGCAAAACCCUGUUAAAAUGUGCGUUUCAAGGCGCAAUUACUACUCCAAAUUCCCCAAUUUGAAGGGAAGAAAUAUUGAAACUCUAGAAAAGGGCUCCUCACUUGUCCCAUGAGAGUAAUGCAUAAAUUGUGCAUCACUUUGUUCUCUUCUAGCGAAAGAAGUUCAAGUAUUUACUAUCUUAUCAUCCUAUUUCCUUAUAGAGAGGAGGCGUUAUCAGGAAUUUGUGACGCGUAUUUAUUUAUGUGGAGGGUGUACGUGACUGCUGAGCUUGUUUCGUUGCAAGAGUACUUUUCUAGAAUUGAAGACGAGGGUAUAUACCUACUGAAUUUGCAAUCUUCUUAGAAAUUGUCAUCCGGGGUGGGUCGUAAAUUUGCAAACUGGAAUUCUGCAGGGGAAAGUUCGCAUGUCACGAAAGGGAGGAGGAGUGGGCAUAUUCUGAAGUCUACAUUUUUUUCAAGAAACAGGUUCACAAAAUUCAUAAUAUGCAUAUGCUAUGGCAAACCAAGGUUUAAACAAGUCAUGUAAUCAUCUUCUCUUCAUCCUUCUACUAAAUAUGUAACUGGAAAUAACUCGGUUCACAGUUUGUCCUUUUUGCUCAAGAAUAAAAGUUGUCAUUGACGUGUAAAUUUUAUUUGUGGCCUGAACAAAAUAUUUCUGAUGGGACUCCUCGUUAAAUUUUAUAUUAUUAUCUGAGAGAAAUAAGAACGGAUAGAAAUAAGGAGAGAGAGAGACCACAUAAUGAUUAUGAUGACCCCUUAUCAGUACCAAUACCGAUACCAGCUCAACCAUAUUUUCUGACAACUUGAUUUUCUGACCCAGGGGACCGUAAGUGAGAGAGACCAAAGCAAAUUGAUAAGAAGACUUAACAUUUAUUUAUUCCAUUCGUCUUUGUCUGUCGGUUGAUCUGAAUUAGAAUUAACGACGAAACUGAGACUCAUCUCAACUGCAACCAAUAAGUUGAAGUUCGUGACGGGUUUCUCGUCUUUCAUUCCAUUCAUAUCGCAUUCUUUUUUCUUCGUAAUAAAUACAACUUGACUGGAAAUGACUAAUGGCUGAAGAACUGAAAUAUUUUUACGAUUGUAUGUAACUUGAGAGGCAAUAAUUUUGCAGCAUUUUCUCAUGAUGCAACCAAUAUGGAAAAUUUCCAAAUAAUUUGGCGUCGUAGUUUAAGGUGAUGACGCGUUCCACAUUCCACCCUCAUUACAAUAGCACUUCCUGGACCGAUUUUGAGAAAAAUUUGGCUCGCAGGUGGUUAUUAUGACUAGAUUAACAAUGGAGGUGCCAUUUCUUUGGAACUAAACACGGAUACAUAAACUAGAUAUUUGUGACCUCCAUUUACAAUUAUCGGAGUCUACGUGACUGCCCGUCUCAAUUCAUUCCUUAUUAUCGCAAUUCUCUUCAAAUAGAAAAGCAUGUGGAAAAUUACCAAGAGUGGUCUCAUUCUUCAAAUUAUGAAAACAAUUCCAAGAACCCUAAACAAAUCAAUCACGUAGCACCAUAAACCCCGGAAGAGUGGAUGCCAUGCCAUGCCUCCAUCACUAUCACACCAUCUCGAUUUGUUUGUACUCGAGAUUACAUAAAGUGCAGUCCCAUAAAAUGAUAUAUAUAAAAUAGAAUAAAAUCAGGCCAUAUCAGCUAUCGGCAUAUUAACUGCAGGGUCAGAUAUGACAAAUGAGUUAUUUUUAGCGUCACAAUACUAACAGGUCAUUAAUAACCCCUUUGUGUACUAUUAGUAGUCGUAGCAUUGUACUAUAAUGUCAUUUUGUUGAUGGUUUUUAUAUGGCUGGACACUAAAAUUAACGCGUAAUAUAAUAAAAACAUGGUCUGUAUGUAUAUAAAAACGUCGUUGGAAAAGUACGAGGGUUGACUAUUGUAUGUAACAUAAAUAAUAAUGCUUUGUGCAAAGAACACUUUGAUGGAGAGAGAAGCAAAUUAAGUUAAACAUUGGGCACAAACCUGAAAAACGAGUAUCGCAUUUUGCAUGACAGCCCUCCUCGUCGUCAACAUGUUGCUUUGGGCAGGAGGGCAUUGUCAGGAUGACGAUGAUGAUAAGAUUGCAAUAUCGGCACCGAGAGUUUUGCACUUUUUUUUAUUGUUGAACCAUCUCUGAGUCAGGCUGGAAACUUGUCACGUUGAACACAGUCACAAUUUUAGGUGGUCAAUUAUUAUUUGUCAAAACACUUUUUUCCUUGUACUAAACUUGUAUGCAUUCUGGAAUUCUGGAUGAUUCGCAAGAAUGCUAAAAUUGAAUGAAACAAAGAAAGACCAAUAUCCUCCUCCUUCUUAGCGAGAAGUUUAUGAAGAAUUUAUGAAACAAGAGAAGAAUAGCGAAUCUAAUUGCGAGACCAAAUUGGCCAUUGUGCAAUUUAUACACAAUGCCUCAUAUAAUGCUUAAAAUUGUGUUUAAUUAUACUUUU